UCCACGUGCUCCCUGGUGGAAAACCUUCCCAGGGUAUGAAAGAGGAAUUCUAUAAAUCGGGUACCUGGGACAGACCCACUGGCCAGCAAGUCCUUCUCGCUAGAGCUGCAACUUGGAGAAGACGGGGCCGGCCCUCCCCUCCCA